CGAACAGAUGAGAAGCUUGCUUCUCUGAUGUUAGCGGCGGACGGGUGAGUAACACGUGGGUAACCUACCUAUAAGACUGGGAUAACUCCGGGAAACCGGGGCUAAUACCGGAUAAUAUUUUGAACCGCAUGGUUCAAUAGUGAAAGACGGUUUCGGCUGUCACUUAUAGAUGGACCCGCGCCGUAUUAGCUAGUUGGUAAGGUAACGGCUUACCAAGGCGACGAUACGUAGCCGACCUGAGAGGGUGAUCGGCCACACUGGAACUGAGACACGGUCCAGACUCCUACGGGAGGCAGCAGUAGGGAAUCUUCCGCAAUGGGCGAAAGCCUGACGGAGCAACGCCGCGUGAGUGAUGAAGGUCUUCGGAUCGUAAAACUCUGUUGUUAGGGAAGAACAAAUUUGUUAGUAACUGAACAAGUCUUGACGGUACCUAACCAGAAAGCCACGGCUAACUACGUGCCAGCAGCCGCGGUAAUACGUAGGUGGCAAGCGUUAUCCGGAAUUAUUGGGCGUAAAGCGCGCGUAGGCGGUUUCUUAAGUCUGAUGUGAAAGCCCACGGCUCAACCGUGGAGGGUCAUUGGAAACUGGGAAACUUGAGUGCAGAAGAGGAGAGUGGAAUUCCAUGUGUAGCGGUGAAAUGCGCAGAGAUAUGGAGGAACACCAGUGGCGAAGGCGGCUCUCUGGUCUGUAACUGACGCUGAUGUGCGAAAGCGUGGGGAUCAAACAGGAUUAGAUACCCUGGUAGUCCACGCCGUAAACGAUGAGUGCUAAGUGUUAGGGGGUUUCCGCCCCUUAGUGCUGCAGCUAACGCAUUAAGCACUCCGCCUGGGGAGUACGACCGCAAGGUUGAAACUCAAAGGAAUUGACGGGGACCCGCACAAGCGGUGGAGCAUGUGGUUUAAUUCGAAGCAACGCGAAGAACCUUACCAAAUCUUGACAUCCUUUGACCGCUCUAGAGAUAGAGUCUUCCCCUUCGGGGGACAAAGUGACAGGUGGUGCAUGGUUGUCGUCAGCUCGUGUCGUGAGAUGUUGGGUUAAGUCCCGCAACGAGCGCAACCCUUAAGCUUAGUUGCCAUCAUUAAGUUGGGCACUCUAGGUUGACUGCCGGUGACAAACCGGAGGAAGGUGGGGAUGACGUCAAAUCAUCAUGCCCCUUAUGAUUUGGGCUACACACGUGCUACAAUGGAUAAUACAAAGGGCAGCGAAUCCGCGAGGCCAAGCAAAUCCCAUAAAAUUAUUCUCAGUUCGGAUUGUAGUCUGCAACUCGACUACAUGAAGCUGGAAUCGCUAGUAAUCGUAGAUCAGCAUGCUACGGUGAAUACGUUCCCGGGUCUUGUACACACCGCCCGUCACACCACGAGAGUUUGUAACACCCGAAGCCGGUGGAGUAACCUUUUAGGAGCUAGCCGUCGAAGGUGGGACAAAUGAUUGG
rnacentral:rRNA from 1 species